GGAUGGCUGAAAUAUGAUGAGUAUACAAAAUCUUGAUUAAAAAAUGAGAACUCAUAAGAUCCAACUCUGAUUUCAUCCAGAG
ensembl:snoRNA small nucleolar RNA, C/D box 19B